CGUCAAGUCCUCAUGGCCUUUAUGACCAGGGCUACACACGUGCUACAAUGGCCGGUACAGAGGGUCGCCAAGUCGCGAGACGGAGCUAAUCCCAGAAAACCGGUCUCAGUUCGGAUUGGAGUCUGCAACUCGACUCCAUGAAGUCGGAAUCGCUAGUAAUCGCGGAUCAGCACGCCGCGGUGAAUACGUUCCCGGGCCUU
rnacentral:rRNA from 1 species